rnacentral:tRNA from 1 species
GGCGCCCUUCCCAAGUGGUAAGGCAGUGGACUGCCACUCCUUGAUCCCCAGUUCGCAUCUGGGUGUCGCCGCCA